AAACCAUUGCUUCUUCCCUCCUCCGUCCUCGAGGCCAGCCGUGACCUGAGGAGUUGGCUUGCCAGCUGAUGUUUAAAGCAUACAUUGGUUUCCUAAUUUAACUGAAGAAAGGCAAACCCUGUAAGAUCACACACCUGGUAGGCAGUAGAGCUCAGUCUUAAAUAAAGGGUUUUUCUCAA